UGCAGCUUGUCCAGACCAUAUUCUGAACCAUUUCCACCUGGUUAAGGACUGAGCUACCCUCCAGGUCUCAGCUGCCAGUGGGAGAGCACCAUCCUCAUCUGAUAAGAGAAAGUGUAUCUCUUUCUACACUAGGCACAGGAAUUGGAUGGAUCCCCUCUCCUUUGUGCUUGAGCUCAAUAUCAAGACUCCCUUACCCACCGUGGACGGAAUCAAGUACUCCCAGAGAAAAGAGUACCUGUGUCAGACAUGUGCUCUAGGAUGAAUUAUAUAGAAAAAAAAUAUUUUCUUCUAAAUUUCCAAUACAGGGAGUUAGGACAGACUUAAAUUUAUAUUUUACAAAUUAGAUACUGGGCUGGCUUGCUCCAGUAGACAAUGCCAUCUAUACAGCCACCAUCAUUUAUUUUAUCACCUGUGUUUCUUAGGUGCUCCAAGUAUGUAUGACAUCAGCUUCUGUCCUGUAGUGAUUGUGGAAACCUUGGCCAGUCACUACCCUGGCUCUUCUAGGGGUGAUUGUAGAAGUACAAAUUCUGUAGUUCUGAUGGUGAUGUUGAUAGACUUGUCUGUAAAAGAAAAGGUGUGGGACAGAAGCAGUGGAGUCAGAAGUAGCACUGUCUCCUGUUGCAGUGUUUCUUGUUAAUGGUAUGUUCUGUUAUUACCUAAGUUGAUGGUUUGGUCCAACUGAGAUCCUCUCACCCCACAUUGUCAAUCUACCCUGAGUCUCCUGUCAAUCUUGUCUUAGGUCCACCACAUGCCUGGAAUUCUACUUCAGAAAUCCCCUAAACUUCGAUGCUUGAUUAGUCCAUGUGACCCAACUUUCCCCCCCUACCUCCCUCAUUGGAUGAUGAUUUUGUGAACCCUGUCUUUUACCCUCCCCAGGAUAUCUCUGAUUAGCUGAUGCUUUCUACCCUCCCUUUGAACCGCCUCCCUAUUUCAGCUGUUGCACACUAGCAUUUUCUGUCUUUUGCCCCCAAGAUUCCCCAGAGCAAUAAAUCCUCUAUUACCCCAUGCA
rnacentral:lncRNA from 1 species